rnacentral:rRNA from 1 species
ACUCCUACGGGAGGCAGCAGUGAGGAAUAUUGGACAAUGGAGGCAACUCUGAUCCAGCCAUGCCGCGUGCAGGAAGACUGCCCUAUGGGUUGUAAACUGCUUUUAUACAGGAAGAAACCACUCUACGUGUAGAGUUCUGACGGUACUGUAAGAAUAAGGAUCGGCUAACUCCGUGCCAGCAGCCGCGGUAAUACGGAGGAUCCAAGCGUUAUCCGGAAUCAUUGGGGUUUAAAGGGGUCCGUAGGUGGACAAUUAAGUCAGAGGUGAAAGUCUGCAGCUCAACUGUAGAAUUGCCUUUGAUACUGGUUGUCUUGAAUUAUUGUGAAGUAGUUAGAAUAUGUAGUGUAGCGGUGAAAUGCAUAGAUAUUACAUAGAAUACCAAUUGCGAAGGCAGAUUACUAACAAUAUAUUGACACUGAUGGACGAAAGCGUGGGGAGCGAACAGGAUUAGAUACCCUGGUAGACUGUCA